rnacentral:rRNA from 1 species
GAUGAACGCUGGCGGUAUGCUUAACACAUGCAAGUCGAACGGUCUUUUCGGAGAUAGUGGCGGACGGGUGAGUAACGCGUGAGAAUCUGGCUCUAGGUCUGGGACAACCAUUGGAAACGGUGGCUAAUACUGGAUGUGCCGAAAGGUGAAAGGUUAACUGCCUGGAGAUGAGCUCGCGUCUGAUUAGCUAGUUGGUAGGGUAAAGGCUUACCAAGGCGACGAUCAGUAGCUGGUCUGAGAGGACGAUCAGCCACACUGGGACUGAGACAC